AGCUUUGCGCAGUGGCGAUAUCGUAACCAAUGAGGUACAACCGAGGUGCCAUUAUUGCUAGUUGAAGUACGUAGACUCGCCCACACAUACCCUCGCCCGCGCACCCUUUCGAAAACUUCUUCAAAAAUAAAAUUUUAGAAAUUUCUCUUAUGAA